UCGAACGAGCUUCCGUUGAAUGACGUGCUUGCACUGAUUUCAACAAUGAAGCGAGUGGCGAACUGGUGAGUAACACGUGGGGAAUCUGCCCAGAAGCAGGGGAUAACACUUGGAAACAGGUGCUAAUACCGUAUAACAACAAAAUCCGCAUGGAUUUUGUUUGAAAGGUGGCUUCGGCUAUCACUUCUGGAUGAUCCCGCGGCGUAUUAGUUAGUUGGUGAGGUAAAGGCCCACCAAGACGAUGAUACGUAGCCGACCUGAGAGGGUAAUCGGCCACAUUGGGACUGAGACACGGCCCAAACUCCUACGGGAGGCAGCAGUAGGGAAUCUUCCACAAUGGACGAAAGUCUGAUGGAGCAAUGCCGCGUGAGUGAAGAAGGGUUUCGGCUCGUAAAACUCUGUUGUUAAAGAAGAACACCUUUGAGAGUAACUGUUCAAGGGUUGACGGUAUUUAACCAGAAAGCCACGGCUAACUACGUGCCAGCAGCCGCGGUAAUACGUAGGUGGCAAGCGUUGUCCGGAUUUAUUGGGCGUAAAGCGAGCGCAGGCGGUUUUUUAAGUCUGAUGUGAAAGCCUUCGGCUUAACCGGAGAAGUGCAUCGGAAACUGGGAGACUUGAGUGCAGAAGAGGACAGUGGAACUCCAUGUGUAGCGGUGGAAUGCGUAGAUAUAUGGAAGAACACCAGUGG
rnacentral:rRNA from 1 species